AGCCAGGCGCUUCUGUCUGGCAAAUACUGCCAGGAAACCAGCCCCGCUGAGCCAAGCCAUUUGUGUAGUGCAAGGCCCCAAAGCCUCCCCAAAGAGAACAAAACGAGGCCGCAGGAGAGCAGAGGCCAUCAAUUGUUUCCACCCCAGCUGAACUGAGGCAGCGAUGGCCACCAACACAGAUGGCAUUAAAAGAGGAUUCGGCAAAUGCAUGGUGGAGAAGACCAUCAAUAGCUACUGGCCACAAUCGUUAUGCUGUGCCUCCAGUUGGAGAUGGUAUGUUUUUGAGCACCAGUUGCUGGAAACUGAAGGAGAAAAAUGAAAUUCCCAGCGGAGAAGGACCUAUGGUUGUCAAGGCUGAGCACAGAGAAGCAGAUCGGCAGAGGACUGAUCACAGAUUUUAUUGGCCUGGUCUGGGCCCCCGCCCCUCUGAUUCUGGAAUGAACAAGAGGAAAGAGAGAGUCUGAGGGGAGACGGGUGCGCCGGUCUGGCCGGGUACAAAAACAGUCCGUGUGAAGAACGCAGAGCAGGUCUCCGGGCCCUGUGCAGCUCACUCCUCUUCCUCUUCCUCCUCGAGGGCAAGGGUGCGAGGCCCCGCAUGCCCGGGUGGCUGCUUCUGGACGGAGACGAUGCCGGUGAGAAGGGCGUACCCAACCAUCGCCACCAGGCCCACCAGCACCGACAGGACCUGGUUGCAUCGCUUGUAUGGCUCUUCCUCCGUGUCGCUCCCGUCCCCAGCGGCUGCCCUGGGGACGCUGGGCGGGGGGUCGCCUGGGGAAGAGACCAACACGCCCAUUACAGAACAUGGCAGGGAGUCUCCUUGCUGGUGAGCGAGAGAAUCGCAACGUGGCACUAGUGGGAUGAGGGGAGGCAGCUGGGAUGGUUCAUCAGGCCACCGUAGAGAUGUGGGACCUGCGGCCAGCCAGACGUUGCUGCUGUACACCAACUCCCAUCAGCCCCGGCCAUCAGGGAUGGGGCGGAUGGGAGAUGGAGUCCAACACCGUCAGGAGGGCCACAGGUUCCCCAUCUCUGAGCUGUGGGAAGAGGGGGGGGAAAUACCUCCUUCCCCUCUCUAGCACAUGGUGCCAGGAAAAAAUGGCCUCUUGGGAAACGUACGUCCAUGGGGGGAAAAUAUCACAUUUCCUAUGGGCCCCUGGGACCUUUCUUGCUACAAGCACACUGGAGGGGGGGAGGAAGGGAGAGAUCCAGCGACCUCCCAAGUCGGAUUGGCUUGGAAAUUAAGCAGAGCUAGCCCUGGUCUGUGCGUGAGCCGCAUAGGGAUAUAGCUUUGGGAGGGGGGGGGAAGCCAAGCUAAUAUGAUGUA